CCCGCCAAGUAAGAACUAGCCAAUCACUUGUAGCGAGUCUUGGAGGGCAAGUGGUAACACAUUGCCUUUAAGCGUAGACAGUUAGGUAACGGGCCGGAAAGCCCUAGUGGCUGAGGGAUAGAGCUCUGAAAUAAAACCAAAGCUGAGAAGGUCGAUGUGUUCUGAGGCAUAGAAGGCAACAAUAGGAUUCUCGUUAAAGGCGAGAGAAUGCUAUCUUCUCCGGAGUCGAAGACC
rnacentral:ncRNA from 1 species